AUUGAACGCUGGCGGCAGGCCUAACACAUGCAAGUCGAACGAGUGGCGGACGGGUGAGUAAUGUCUGGGAAACUGCCUGAUGGAGGGGGAUAACUACUGGAAACGGUCGCUAAUACCGCAUACCCUCAGAUUCGCCUCGAGGGGAUUAGCUUGUUGGGGGGGUAACGGCUCACCAAGGCGAAGAUCCCUAGCUGGUCUGAGAGGAUGACCAGCCACACUGGAACUGUGACACGGUCCCAACUCCUACGGAAGGCAGUAGUGGGGAAUAUUGCACAAUGGGCGCAGGCCUGAUGCAGACAUGCCGCGUGUAUUAAGAAGGCCUUCGGGUUGUAAAGUACGUUCAGCGGGGAGGCGUUACCCGCAGAGGAAGCACCGGCUAACUCCGUGCCAGCAGCCGCGGUAAUAC
rnacentral:rRNA from 1 species